rnacentral:rRNA from 1 species
UACGUAGGUGGCGAGCGUUAUCCGGAAUUAUUGGGCGUAAAGCGCGCGCAGGCGGUUUCUUAAGUCUGAUGUGAAAGCCCACGGCUCAACCGUGGAGGGUCAUUGGAAACUGGGAAACUUGAGUGCAGAAGAGGAAAGUGGAAUUCCACGUGUAGCGGUGAAAUGCGUAGAGAUGUGGAGGAACACCAGUGGCGAAGGCGACUUUCUGGUCUGUAACUGACGCUGAGGCGCGAAAGCGUGGGGAGCAAACAGG